UUUUUUCAAUUAUCCCCGUAGAUCCCAGAUCUUGAACCCUCCCUCCCAAAUCUUGAACCCUCCUUUUUUUUUUUCCUCUUAGACCCCAAAUCCCCCUCUCUUUCUUUCCCUAUUUCUUUCCCCGUUGACCCCAAAUCCUGUCUUACCUCUUGGGUUGUCGAACCCAGACCUUGAACCCAAACAACAGGCCACCACGGGAAUCUCGAAGCCGACGCGAAUCAAGUCCCAAAAUCAAGGAUAAGUCUUUCAUAUAUCUAGCUGGCCUCCUACAGAUGUCGAAGUUGAUUACUCGUCGUCGGACUGUGACCAAUGCGCCUCCCACAUUAUCAGCAUCUACUGCUCCAGCCGUGAGUGCUCCAUUGAUUGGGGAGCCUACACCCAAUGUUGAGGCUACUUCUACGGUGUCCCAAGUGCCCGUCUCAUCGACGUCAUCAGUGUCCGUUGAGUUGCUCAGUGCACGGCGGCCUCACCGACGCUGCCGGGACCCAGAGCCUUCUGAUCAGACUUCCUCGGCAUCCAAAGUUGAGGGUGAGGCCUUCCAGCCACCAGCUAAAAAAAACACCAGGGGACCCAAUCGAAUGUUGAAGGAGCUACAGCUUGUACGUAUGUCUGCCUUCUUGAUCAAGAUUGCGUAUGAUGAGCGACAUCGUGGAGUGGUUACCUCACAGCAGCAUAACAGCGUCGUUAAUUGCUGUGGUUUUAUUAUUAGGAAUUUUUGUCCUAUGCAGUGGGAGAGUUGGGCAAAAAUUCCCGAGGAGACAAGGACCCUGGUGCGAGACAAUUUGGAGGUCGUUUUUGAAAUGGAGGACAUAUCCCCUGAGGUCAGUGCCUACUUAGAGGAAACCUUAGCAAGCCGGUACAAAGAUUGGAAGAGCGUUCUUCACAAGCAUUUUCAGCUAUGGGAAUCUCCGGAGAUUGCUCGCCUACAGGGUUGCCCACUCAGCUAUGGAUGAAGUUAAUAAUAAUUUAUUGUUUUUGUUAUUUUAUUUAAGCUUUUUUUAAUAAUUUCUUUCAAAUAGUCGCACUAACAUCUAUAUUGUAUGUUUAACAGAAGAAAUAUGUUGAUGGCAAGAAAGCUCGGGACUCAAAGAUACUUCUCCACCAUUCUGGUUCGAAGCCCUUUUCGUAUAGGGUUGAGGCACGACGUGAGGAGGGUUCUAAGUUCCCACAGAUUGACUUGUUCAAGCAUGUUUAUGUUCAUCCCAACAAUGAGAACAGUGACCAACUUUAUGGUGAUAUGGUGGAAAAGAGCACUGCUAUUCUCCAAGAAGCAACAUCGCAGCUUUCCCCAGAGACCCCGAUCGAGGACGUCAUUGUACCCAAGGAUGCAGAUGUUCAGAUCAUGACUGAGGUUCUGGAUCAGAAGUGUGGUCGUUGUCAUGGUAAGGUUGUUCGGUGUACGGGGAAGGCGGGGGUUCGUGAAACGGGUGCCUCUUCUUCCAAAUUGUCCACAGGAAAGGUCAAUUCCUUGAAGGAGGAAGUGACAACCCUAAGAGGUCAGGUUGCGGCCUAGGGCGACCAUAUUAAGGCCCAGGACGAGAGGAUGAAUAUGAUUGUUCAGGCCUUAGCGAUGUCCGGCCUCCAAAUCCCGACGAUGCUAGCACCUAAUGUUGCUCCAGCUUCGACUUCCCAGCCAUUUCGCCCAGACGAUAUCGAGUAGCAUGAUGUAUUAAACUUAGAAGACUUGUAGUUUUUUAUUUUUUUGUUCGGACAAACGUACAUUUUCAUAUAUUCUAUAAUUAAUUACUUUUUCAUGGUUUA